UUAGAUGAAGGAAAAGUGACGAUUCUUGUGAUAACCGUGUAUGACUGUCAUCCUUUCCAAUUAACAGGCCACGGUUAUGUGCAAGAGUGCAUCAAGGAUUGCAUGUCAACUCCAAGGAGGUGACUGGUGGUCCCUUUUUCUAGACAAGGCAACUGGAUGACCUGGCUGAUAGUAGUACUGAAUCUGGAACUCAUCAAACCUGCUGUUUUUCAUGCCCUGCUUAGCAACCCAGGGGAGUGACUUGCCCAAGGUCCUACUGUAAAUGGAGUUGCUGGGAGCAGACCCUGAAUUCCUCAGCUCACCAUGGAGGCUCUAAUCACAAAGCCGGUAAGAAGAGGCCCUUGCUCUGGUUUGAAGCUCCCCACUGAGCACGUUCCGAGUUUCUGGUCUCAUUGGCACCGUGUGUUGAACUCAGUGAGUAUCAUGCACAUCUAUGCUUACUGUAGGCUUCUUCAGCAUGCUAAUGAUUCAUGUUUCUUACAAAAAUGCCUGGAAAAGUCUUUUUUCUUUUGGUUUUUGGGCCUCCUCUCACUAUAUCUAUAUUCAAGGAGUGUUAGAUAGACAACACAAAAGAUCUCCUGAAGGCUGAGAUGUAAACAUUCCGGAUUGAGUUGGAGCAAAGAUAGAGCUGCCUGGCUGUCGUCAGAAGGUGGUGGAGAGAAGCCCCAGCGUCUAACUCUCCUGCCUUUGUAGAUAGAGUGUUGUCAGAGUUUCCUGGAUGAGCUUUGACAGGCUGUAUGGCUUUUGACAGGCUUCCCAGGUGGCUUGGUGAUAAAGCAUCUGCCUACCAAUGCAGGAGAUGCAGGAGACUCGGGUUUGAUCCCUGGGUUGGGAAGAUCCCCUGAAAAAAGAAAUGGCAACCCACUCCAGUAUUCCUGCCUGCAGAAUCCCAUUGACAACAGAGCCUGGUGGGCUACAGUCCAUGGAGUCAAAAGAGUUGAACAUGACUGAGCAACUGAACAUGCACACAUAUGGCUUCUGACGUGUCCUUGGCUGUCAGUUUCCUCAACUGUAAAAUGGGCAAAAGUGUAAAAUAUUUGUCUCACAAGAUAUAGCAAAAUUGAAAUGUAAAGGUUCUCAGCACAGUAUGUGGCCAUUAAGCAUUUAAAUGACAGUAAGUCCCAUUGCUGUCACCAUCAUCAGUUGUCAUGAUCAUCAUCACCCCUUAGGAUCUACCAGGGUGCCUGUUUAAUGAAAGCAAAAUAAAUGUUACCUCAUAUUGGCCA
rnacentral:tRNA from 1 species